GGUUGUCGUCAGCUCGUGUCGUGAGAUGUUGGGUUAAGUCCCGCAACGAGCGCAACCCUUGUUGUUAAUUGCUAACAGGUUAAGCUGAGCACUUUAGCGAGACAGCCUAGGUUAACUAGGAGGAAGGUGGGGAUGACGUCAAAUCAUCAUGCCCCUUACGUUUAGGGCUACACACGUGCUACAAUGGUGAGAACAGAGAGAAGCAAGCUAGUGAUAGUGAGCAAAACUUAUAAAACUCAUCUCAGUUCGGAUUGCAGGCUGAAACUCGCCUGUAUGAAGAUGGAGUUGCUAGUAAUCGCGAAUCAGAAUGUCGCGGUGAAUACGUUCCCGGGUCUUGUACACACCGCCCGUCACACCAUGAGAGUUGGCAACGCCCGAAACCUGUGGGCUAACCAUAUAGGAGGCAGCAGUCUAAGGUGGGGUCAGUGAUUGGGGUGAAGUCGUAACAAGGUAGCCGUAGGAGAACCUGCGGCUGGAUCACCUCCUU
rnacentral:rRNA from 1 species